ensembl:lncRNA
GGUUGCUAGGAUGUUUUAGGAUUUGUUAUGGUUGCUACAGUGUUUUGGGUGGUUCCCAUAACAGUUUGGUAGUUGGUUGAGUGUUUUGGGUAGUUACCUGGGUAGAGUGGUUGCUGGGCUGUUUUGGUGUCUGCAGUGUUGUUUGUUUUAGGUGGUUUCUAAGUGGUUGCUAUGGUGUUUUGGUGUUUGUUUUAGAUUGUUUCUAGGUGUUUGCUAUGGUGUAUGUUUUAUAUGGUUUGUAGCUGGUUGCUAGUGUGUUUUUGGCUGGUUAAUAUGGUGUUUUGGGUAAUUGAUAUAUUGUUUAUUUUAAAUAGGUUUCUAGGUGGUUGCUGGGGUGUUUUGGGGUGGUUGCUAUGGUGUUUGUUUUAGAUGGUUCCUGG